rnacentral:rRNA from 1 species
UACGUAGGGUGCAAGCGUUAAUCGGAAUUACUGGGCGUAAAGCGUGCGCAGGCGGUUCGCUAAGACAGAUGUGAAAUCCCCCGGGCUAACCUGGGAACUGCAUUUGUGACUGGCGGGCUAGAGUAUGGCAGAGGGGGGUAGAAUUCCACGUGUAGCAGUGAAAUGCGUAGAGAUGUGGAGGAAUACCGAUGGCGAAGGCAGCCCCCUGGGCCAAUACUGACGCUCAUGCACGAAAGCGUGGGGAGCAAACAGG